GGAGGAUCUACACUUUCCUCCUGGCAAGACGAAUGCACAGAUACCAGAGCACGAAAACAAACUUUGUUGAGACAAGACCAGGAUUACAGGACAUAUUUCAGUCGCAGUUAACUGAUGUGGAUCACAGACUUUUCCAGCUGUUUGCUGAAGUGUUUGAUCGCAGAGGGACGAGGAGACACGGACAAAUAAUAUAAAGUCAGGUGAAGUUUUUUAGUCCACAGAACAUUUCUGGAGCUUCACAGUAAAACAGAGUUGCAGCAUUUUGCUAAACAGCUGACGCAGCUGACACUUGAUUUAAAACAUGAAUGGCUCCUGACAGCUCUCCUGGUGUAAUGCAAGUUUUUGGAAGUGUUAGCCAUCUUUUUUUUUUCUGUUUUACUGUGAAGCUCCAGAAAUGUUUCUGGACUCUGAGACUUCACCUGACUUUAUAUCAUCAGGAGGAGGAGACGAGGACUGGAGUGACUUUUAUGGGGGAACUAAUGUCGUCUCCUUUAUUGUAAACUGUUUAAAUUGACAGACUGUGUUACUGACAUCCAGUAAACACAAAGUCCAGUCCUGCCUGUUUACAGUCGCUGCAGAUGAUCAAGGAGUGGCUCCUCCUUCAGACGGCACACUUGCAUAUUUGAGCUGCCUGCUUUCUGUUCACAGCGUCACAGGUGAAGGUGUGCAGUGGAGGAACAGCUGAGCUGUGAGACCAUUUGAUCUGUCCAGUCAUGUCCUCCACCAUCCUGCUGAUCGUCCUUCUGUCUGCACACAUUACAGGUCUGAUCUCAGAGCAGCUUCUCAGGGCAGCUGUUGGAGGAUCCGUCCUGAUCCCAUGUUCUCUUCCUGGUAAUCCACUGAGGUUUUACUGGCAGGAGGACCAGUCUCCUUACCUUUUGUGUCACUGGGACGGUGGGAAAACAUUGCCAGGAUGUGACAAAUACAAUGGCAGAUUCCAAGUCUUCACUUCUGAGUUUAGUUCUGGAAACAUUUCCAUCAGACUUGACAACAUUUCUCCUGAAGAUGAUAAGAAAACAUUCUUUGCCUACGUUAAAUUUGAUGAGCAGAUACAAUCUGAACGACGGUGUGAGUCCACGCUGCAGGUUUCAGCUCCCUACCAGGAUCUGGUCCUGACAGUUAACCACACAACCAACAGUGCAACCUGCUCAGCACGAGGAGGAUACCCUGCAGCUCAGGUAUCAUGGAAGGGUCUGAACAGAUCCAGUGAUGAACAAAUGGACCUGCAGGAUGCUGAGACGUUCCUGCAGCAGGCUCCAACAGAGAAAACCUUCUCCUUCACAAGCUCUGUCAACGUUACAGGGUUAAAGUCUGUAACCUGCAUCGUCUACAACCCUCACUCCAACAAGACCAUUAACAAAACUAUGGAGUUGGUGGAGAUCAACACUGCUGAUCCUCCUGGUGUGUGGAUCACAACGCCAACCUUCUCUACUCCUUCCCAGGAUGAAAACGGGAGGCAUCAUUUUCUAAUAAUUGCAGCUGUUGUCCUCUUCAUCAUCCUCAUCCUCAUCCUUGCUGGUUUCUGUCGGUGGUACAAAAGUCAAUGUCCAGUUCCAGGACCAGUUCUAGAACUGAACCCAGAACCAGACGUCCCUAAUCUCCAAGAUGCAGUUCAAGAAGAAGCUCCAGAUUUAAAUCCAGAUGCAGCUCGAGAACCAGUCGAUCCUAAUCCCCAAGACCCAGUUCAAGAAGAAGCUCCAGCUCCAGAUCAAGCUCCAGGUCCAGAUCAAGAUCAGGAUCCAGAUCAAGCUCCAGGUCCAGAUCAAGAUCAGGAUCCAGAUCAAGCUCCAGGUCCAGAUCAAGAUCAAGAUCAAGAUCAAGAUCAAGAUCAAGAUCCAGAUCAAGCUCCAGGUCCAGAUCAAGAUCAGGAUCCAGAUCAAGCUCCAGGUCCAGAUCAAGAUCAAGAUCAAGCUCCAGGUCCAGAUCAAGAUCAAGCUCAAGGUCCAGAUCAAGAUCAGGAUCCAGAUCAAGCUCCAGGUCCAGAUCAAGAUCAAGCUCCAGGUCCAGAUCAAGAUCAGGAUCCAGAUCAAGCUCCAGGUCCAGACCAAGAUCAGGAUCAGGAUCCAGAUCAAGCUCCAGGUCCAGAUCAAGAUCAGGAUCAGGAUCCAGAUCAAGCUCCAGCCAACCAACCACCAGCCGAACAUGAUCCCCAAGAUGGAGCUGAAGCUGAAGAUGCAGACGCAGCAGAACCUGCCCCAGACCCAGUUCAGGAGGAAGCAGCUGAUCCAUCUGAGGACACUGUUCUACUAUCUAAGGAUCGAGCUGUGUUUCACUGUCAGACAAAGACGAGUGAAGGUACUGCAGACUGCGACACCUGUGAGGACGCUGCUGCUUCACCAGAGAAAGAAAAACUGCUGGAAAAAGAAAAUGGAAAUGAAGACAGCGCCUCUGAUUGA
rnacentral:lncRNA from 1 species